CCUUUCCUCUCCCCUUUCCCCCUCCUCCUCCUGCAGCCUCACCCAGGAACGAUCUUCCCCCACCGUUAAAUUAAAAUGGCUCUUCCCACACUCAUUAAUGUUGCUGAGAUGAUCCUUCAAAUACAUUCUCAGAGGCCAACCUUAACUUAAGACAAUCCCUCACCCAUGUGCCCUGAGUCGCAGCUCCUGGGUGAUCCUAGGCAGGACCGUAGAGGCAGAAGGGCAAAAGAAGCAGGGGCAGCUGAAUAGUCAGUACCUGAGGCUUUGAAAGCAGCCAGUCAGUUUUGGGUUGACGGUUAAAGAAAGACAGUCAAACUGUUUGAGGAGAGCCAAGAGGGGAAAAAUAAGGAAAAUAAAAGAAAGCUGGCAAGAGAGCAGGAAGGGCAGGAUGAAGGGUGAAAGGCCCUCCCCCAGCAGGGCCUUGCUACAGGGAACCUGCAGGGCCUUGCUCUCAGGAGUGGUCUGGGAAGCUAACAAGACUACUUAGACAGGGGUCUCAGACCUGGGGCGGAGGACUGUAACACUGGCUUCUGCCAAGGUUGUUCCGGUACCUUGGGCCUGAAUGUGUAUGGCUGCUUGCCCCUCUUCUGGCCUCUGUAUGCGCUUGCACCCCAAUGCUCAGACCCACACAGAAAUAUGGAUGGUUACAAGGAAAAAGGAGCAGGGCUCUUACAACAUAUAGAAGUGCUUUAUCUCACUUUAUCUAUCAGGGUAAAACGUGAAUAUCUAAAAUCAAAUGUGAACCUAUGUCUAAAGUCAUUUUCCGUUUUACUCCCUCAGAGGUAACAUGGAAAUCCGAGGUUUUAGAGAGUUUUUGCACGUGCGUAUUUUGUGUAUUCCCCACAAAUACAUAAUGAUAAACGACACAGAAAUCUGUUUAUGUAAUUUCUCGGCUUCCAAUUCACAGAAGGCUGCCUGCCUCUGCUACCGGUUGCAAGCCACUACGCCUGGAGGGAAGGGAAUUGUAACACUGUGUAUCCCCACAGACUUCAGGCAAGUUAUUGACCCAUUAAUACACUAAUCAUGCCUACCGACCACAAUUACAAAGCCAAAGCUGAUUGGCUGCACUCUUGGGACUCUUUGUGCUUUAUGUAAAUUUUGUAACUUUCACCUCCAUCCCUAACACAACUCUCUGUAUAACACCAGGUGACCAUUUACUCUCAACUCAGAUUUUUUUUUUCUUUUUUUUCGGAGCUGGGGACUGAACCCAGGGCCUUGCGCUUGCUAGGCAAGAGCUCUACAACUGAGCUAAAUCCCCCAACCCCAACUUAGAUUUUUAAUUACGGAGAAGCAGCUUUUUUCUUCAUAUUUGCUGUUGCCAAACUUAUACCAUGCACUUGAAUUUCCUAAUUCGACGUUUACAUAUGCUCUCCCAACAGGUAAUAUGAAGGGUUAACAUAAAUGAACAUAAAUGUUCAUUAACAAUUAAAACUAAUUAACAACUGUUCUAUUCCUUUAUAAAAGGGGGACUCAGAAUUUUAACUUGUAGCCGCUGUCUUAUCACACCCCCCCAUCUAUACAAUACAGCUUUUGGUUUUGAUAACACAAAAUUACGUGAGCCAUAUUACUCUGAAAAGAAAAAUUAAACACUAUUAGCAGACUGGCAAAGGGAGCUUUUGGUUUUGCCUGCGUAAGUGUGUGGUUUGGGGUUUCUGUUUCUUUGCUUGUGUUUGAGCAAAGUUCUCAAUACCAUGACCAGGCUGACGUGAAACUUUUUAUAUAGAUCUGCCUUCUCAACUUCAGGUUUCUGAGCCACUAUACAGGGUGGAAAGAGAAUUUUUUAACUCUAUCACCCACAGACUUCAAACAAGUGUUAUUGACCCAUUAAUAUGUUCAUGGACGAGUCAGUCUGUUGUCUGAAAUUACACAAGUCUGUUUCCAUGGAGACCUUUGUGGUUGAUAUUUCCUGUGAAAAGAACAAACCAACCGACCUACUUUUGUUUGCAGUGGUCGAUGGGAUCACAUCCUACCUGGACAAUUUUGAGGAAUUUUGAAGCACCCAGACAAAAAAAAAAAAAAAAAAAAAAAAA
rnacentral:sRNA from 1 species